AUGGGUGUUGGCUCCAACAAUUCUCAUUGGUCUCAAACCAAUGUAGUGCAUGAAGAUGAUCAUGAGUUUGAGGUGGAGGAGGAUGGUGAGGAUAUCGUCGAUGCAUCAAAAGGAAGAGCGGGCAACUACACCAUGGACGAAGACAUCUUGCUAUGCAAUACAUGGUUGCAUGUGUCUAUGGAUGCAAACGUUGGGAGCUACCUUGGGAGGCUUUAGAGGCAUGGGAGCUACCAUGGGAGGCUUGGGAACAUCUACCUACCAUGGACGGCAUGGGAGGCAUGGGUGGCUUCAGAGCUCUCAUGGGAGCCAUGGGAGGCAUGA
rnacentral:rRNA from 1 species